rnacentral:tRNA from 1 species
UCCUUGGUGGGCCAGUGGCUAAGACUCUGCACUCCCAAUGCAGGGGGGCCCAGGUUCAAUCCCUGGUCAGGGAG